CAGCACCUCAAGUGGUCAGGAUGAUUAUUGGGCCUAAAGCAUCCGUAGCCUGCUUUGUUAGUUUUCGGUUAAAUCCAUACGCUCAACGUACAGGCUGCCGGGAAUACUGCAGCGCUAGGGAGUGGGAGAGGUAGACGGUACUCGGUAGGAAGGGGUAAAAUCCUUUGAUCUAAUGAUGACCACCCGUGGCGAAGGCGGUCUACCAGAACACGUCCGACGGUGAGGGAUGAAAGCUGGGGGAGCAAUCCGGAUUAGAUACCCGAGUAGUCC
rnacentral:rRNA from 1 species